ensembl:lncRNA
AACUUGGUAAGAAAGGACUAAUGGAGUAUGGGAAUCACAGCUUCACUUCAAAAGGACCAGAUAAUGCCUGUUCUCUGAACUACAGCAGAAGUACUGCCUGGGGCAGAUUCUUCAGGUUUUAGACAAAUUAUGACUAUUCAACACAUGAGUUGUGCUUCUUCCUUGGAGGAGCUACUUGGACAAACUACUCAUUCACCAUCUGAACCAAACAAGAGGGAGCUAGAGAAAUCACCAGGAUAACAGAUGGUAGGUAAAGUUUUCUGCAGAACAAGGCACUUCUUCAAUGAAGAGGGCAGGGAACUGAAGCCAUCUUUCUAUUCAACCCCCUACUCAUUUUCUUUCUCAAAUUCAGAAUCAGGAAAGAUAUCUUUCACUCUGAGACAUGAGACGUCACAAAAUAUGGUAUUGUCCUAGUUGUCAGGUGGGAUGGGAUUUAAAAAUGAAGGUUGCAAGAAAGAGAAAAUGCAAUCUAUUCAUUCAAAAAAAUCAAACAGUGACAAGAGAAGAAAUAAUUUGGAGUGUUUCCUCAGUUUUGUGUUCAAGUGCAGGCUUACUAACAGACUUGGUUACAGCACAAGCCACUUCCAGUACCCUCAAAGAACAGUUAGGUCAUUGCCUCAACUGUAGUUCAAGAGCUUCCAGAAGUUUCCACGGCAAUCUCAUUCUCCAAUCACUGUGUCAGCUACCUUCCCAGAACUCAAGAGGCUGUAGAAAUUGCCUGCUUCUACAGUUGGAUCCUACAUAAUUAACCUAUGCUGCUGAGAUUUCCUAAAUUUAAUACAGCUUACAAUAUGUACAGAAUCUUACCUUGCAAAGAACAAUAAGAAAAAACGACAAUGUUUACAGUAAAAUAAAUAGUUCCCAGAUGCUGCUCUCCAGCUGCCACUGCUAGCCAGUGUGUUUUCCAUACAAUCCUGUUUAUAGUCCUCAGUGUUCAGCCCCACAGACCCCCACCAAACCGUACAGUAUCACUCUCCUCACUUCAGGCAGUCCACGGUCCACAUUCCACCCCUGAUGAGUGCCAUUUUUUCAAGCAGCUCUAAAAUUGACUUUGUCCCAUGAACAACCCUACAAUUCAUUUCUCCCACCCUUUGAUUGCAAUCUCAGCAUAUUUUUUCUUCAGUUUAUGUACAACUCUGCAAAGUUCAGCAC